UUAAAAUUAUUAUUAUUUUACUUUGAGGGAGAAUUUGGUCGGAGAAUCCUCUGGAUUUCCACUCCUGCCCACCCAUGGAACUGAAUUAAUAGUUAAUAGUAAUAGUGUAAGAGAGAAUCAUGACUUCAAGGGAAUUAUUGUUAUUCUAUUUCUUCUUGACCAUGGAAUUGCCUGGUUGUGUCUGUUCAGUAAAAGGCAGAAGCAAGAUAAGAAGAGAUAAAAAGACUUAAAAAGUAAUAAGAAUGACCCGAGGUAAUUAAAGUCAGCCAUCUUGUAUUUUUCUUAUAAUUUUCAGGCAAAUGCCUUUGAAACAUAGUUUUGUGAUCCCAACUCCAAGUAUCUUUGUUUAUUACAUUAAUCCAUUGCUGGCUCUGGAGAGGAUGAUGAGAACUCUGUGAGUGCC
rnacentral:lncRNA from 1 species